UCGGCUAUUCUUGAAAUAGUGAGCGUGUUCGAACAUCAACGAAGCCCCCUGCAACCCUUCUUGACUUCUUCAAUCUCUGUUCUCUCUCCUAUGCACUGAUAUCGCUCUCUCUCAGUUGCCUCGAAUUAGAGAGAGAUUUCGAACAUCAAUGAAGCCCCCUGCUGGUUCUCGCGCACAUACUGGUUCGAUCACCCUAAGGUAUGAAACCUAAAACUUACUUUCCUCUUCUCUUCUCUCUUCACUCUUUUUUAAACCCUAAAUAUUUUCUUCUCCACUCUCUAACCAGAAGCUUCGUACACGCUCUCCCCCUUCAUUGGUUAUCUCGAAUUACUGAGUGAUUUCGAACAUUAACGAAGCCCUUGCAACUGAUCUCGCACACUUACUGGAUUGAUGACCCUAAGAGAAAUGGAUGCACAACAACGGAUGUGUAGCUGUGGAGAGGUGAUGGUCAUCCGAACUUCUCAAACGGCGAGGAAUCCUGGACGAAGAUUUUACAGAUGUCCGGUAGGCGGAAAACAUCCGGGAUGUUUUAUUUGGUUGGACCCAGUAUCGAGGAAUUAUACUGAGACUGUAGACACAGGAACAUGUUAUUCAACAGAAAGUGUUAAUAGGAACACACGGGUCAUCUCGGCUAUUCGUCAACCCUCCUAUAGUCCACAAGUGCGGAAACAAAUACUAGUGGACCAGUCGUUGCUCAACCAUUAUUAUGGUUUAACCAUCUUCCUAUGUAUUUGGGUGUUAAUUCUCUCGUGCUAUGUCUUUUAUGUAACGGCCUUGUAAAUAGUACUAAAGUCUAUUUCAUAUUAUGUACGGAGUAAAUACAAGAUCAAGACUUUAUGUAAGACUUCAUAAUUUUUUUUUUC